rnacentral:rRNA from 1 species
GACGAACGCUGGCGGCGUGCCUAAUACAUGCAAGUCGAGCGGACAGAUGGGAGCUUGCUCCCUGAAGUCAGCGGCGGACGGGUGAGUAACACGUGGGCAACCUGCCUGUAAGACUGGGAUAACUUCGGGAAACCGGAGCUAAUACCGGAUACGUUCUUUUCUCGCAUGAGAGAAGAUGGAAAGAUGGUUUCGGCUAUCACUUACAGAUGGGCCCGCGGCGCAUUAGCUAGUUGGUGAGGUAAUGGCUCACCAAGGCAACGAUGCGUAGCCGACCUGAGAGGGCGAUCGGCCACACUGGGACUGAGACACGGCCCAGACUCCUACGGGAGGCAGCAGUAGGGAAUCUUCCGCAAUGGACGAAAGUCUGACGGAGCAACGCCGCGUGAACGAUGAAGGCCUUCGGGUCGUAAAGUUCUGUUGUUAGGGAAGAACAAGUACCAGAGUAACUGCUGGUACCUUGACGGUACCUGACCAGAAAGCCACGGCUAACUACGUGCCAGCCGCCGCAGUAAAAC